rfam:Toxocara canis C1786294, whole genome shotgun sequence.
UAGGCAAUAGCUCAGUGGUAGAGCUCCCAUUCCGUACACGGGAAGACUCCGGUUCAAUCCCCGGCUGCUUAC